UAUAUACUCCCUCCGUCCGGAAAUACUUGUCAUCAAAAUGAAUAAAAGGGGAUGUAUCUAGACGUAUAUUAGUUCUAGAUACAUCUCUUUUUAUUCAUUUUUAUGACAAGUAUUUGGGGACGGAGGGAGUAGUUU
rfam:Triticum aestivum genome assembly, contig: Triticum_aestivum_CS42_TGACv1_scaffold_583361_7BL